rnacentral:misc_RNA from 1 species
UCUCUUUCUUCAGAUGAUGAUCCCAAGCCUUCUGGCGAUCUCUUAAAACAAAGCCUCACGUCAUAAUCCCUCCAGGUUUUUCAAAGAAAAACAUGCGUUUCAAGGUGCCAUGGAUUUUAAAGACCAUGGAUUUACUCAGAACUUAUGGGUUUUAAAAAAAGGCUUUAAAAGGAAAUAACUAAAAAAGCUUUUCCUGUGAUUUAAGAUGAUACCGGGGAAGGUUUUCCGGUUUAUUCCGGAGGGCUUGUAGCUCAGUUGGUUA